UACGUAGGUGACAAGCGUUGUCCGGAUUUACUGGGCGUAAAGAGCGCGCAGGCGGUCGUUCAAGUCGAGUGUGAAAGCCCCCGGCUCAACUGGGGAGGGUCAUUCGAUACUGAUCGACUCGAAGGCAGGAGAGGGUAGUGGAAUUCCCGGUGUAGUGGUGAAAUGCGUAGAUAUCGGGAGGAAUACCAGUGGCGAAGGCGGCCUUCUGGACUGUUUCUGACACUGAAAAACGAAAGCCAGGGGAGCAAACGGG
rnacentral:rRNA from 1 species